rnacentral:rRNA from 1 species
UGUAAAGCUCUGUCGGCCGGAAAGAAAUCGCGUGGGUUAAUACCCUGUGCGGAUGACGGUACCGGACAUAAGAAGCACCGGCUAACUACGUGCCAGCAGCCGCGGUAAUACGUAGGGUGCGAGCGUUAAUCGGAAUUACUGGGCGUAAAGCGUGCGCAGGCGGUUAUGUAAGACAGAGCGUGAAAUCCCCGGGCUCAACCUGGGAACUGCGUCUUGUGACUGCAUAGNCUAGAGUACGGCAGAGGGGGGUGGAAUUCCACGUGUAGCAGUGAAAUGCGUAGANAUGUGGAGGAACACCAAUGGCGAAGGCAGCCCCCUGGGUCAAUACUGACGCUCAUGCACGAAAGCGUGGGUAGCAAACAGGAUUAGAUACCCUGGUAGUCCACGCCCUAAACGAUGUCAACUAGGUGUUGGGUGNGUAAC